rnacentral:rRNA from 1 species
GACGAACGCUGGCGGCGUGCUUAACACAUGCAAGUCGAACGGAAAGGCCCUGCUUUUGUGGGGUGCUCGAGUGGCGAACGGGUGAGUAACACGUGAGUAACCUGCCCUUGACUUUGGGAUAACUUCAGGAAACUGGGGCUAAUACCGGAUAGGAGCUCCUGCUGCAUGGUGGGGGUUGGAAAGUUUCGGCGGUUGGGGAUGGACUCGCGGCUUAUCAGCUUGUUGGUGAGGUAGUGGCUUACCAAGCCUAUGACGGGUAGCCGGCCUGAGAGGGUGACCGGCCACAUUGGGACUGAGGGACGGCCCAGACUCCUACGGGAGGCAGCAGUGGGGAAUAUUGCGCAAUGGGCGGAAGCCUGAUGCAGCAACGCCGCGUGCGGGAUGACGGCCUUCGGGUUGUAAACCGCUUUCGCCUGUGACGAAGCGUGAGUGACGGUAAUGGGUAAGGAAGCACCGGCUAACUACGUG